rnacentral:rRNA from 1 species
UACGUAGGUGACGAGCGUUAUCCGGAAUACUGGGCGUAAAGCGCACGCAAGCGGCUGGACAAGUCUGGCGUGAAAUCCUCUGGCUUAACCAGGGGCGUCGCUGGAGACUGUUCAGCUUGAGGCGAUGAGAGGGGUGCAGAAUUCCCGGUGGUAGUGGUGGAAUGCGUAGAUAUCAGGAGGAACACCGAUGGCGAAGGCAGGCUCUGGGCCACUACUGACGCUGAGAAGCGAAAGCAUGGGGAGCGAACAGG